GGGUUGUGAGGUUAAGCGACUAAGCGUACACGGUGGAUGCCCUGGCAGUCAGAGGCGAUGAAGGGCGUGCUAAUCUGCGAUAAGCGCCGGUAAGGUGAUAUGAACCGUUAUAACCGGCGAUACCCGAAUGGGGAAACCCAGUGUGACUCGUCACACUAUCAUUAACUGAAUCCAUAGGUUAAUGAGGCGAACCGGGGGAACUGAAACAUCUAAGUACCCCGAGGAAAAGAAAUCAACCGAGAUUCCCCCAGUAGCGGCGAGCGAACGGGGAGUAGCCCAGAGCCUGAAUCAGCAUGUGUGUUAGUGGAAGCGUCUGGAAAGGCGCGCGAUACAGGGUGACAGCCCCGUACACAAAAGCGCAUGUGCUGUGAGCUCGAUGAGUAGGGCGGGACACGUGGUAUCCUGUCUGAAUAUGGGGGGACCAUCCUCCAAGGCUAAAUACUCCUGACUGACCGAUAGUGAACCAGUACCGUGAGGGAAAGGCGAAAAGAACCCCGGCGAGGGGAGUGAAAAAGAACCUGAAACCGUGUACGUACAAGCAGUGGGAGCACCCUUUGGGGUGUGACUGCGUACCUUUUGUAUAAUGGGUCAGCGACUUAUAUUCUGUAGCAAGGUUAACCGAAUAGGGGAGCCGUAGGGAAACCGAGUCUUAAUUGGGCGUUAAGUUGCAGGGUAUAGACCCGAAACCCGGUGAUCUAGCCAUGGGCAGGUUGAAGGUUGGGUAACACUAACUGGAGGACCGAACCGACUAAUGUUGAAAAAUUAGCGGAUGACCUGUGGCUGGGGGUGAAAGGCCAAUCAAACCGGGAGAUAGCUGGUUCUCCCCGAAAGCUAUUUAGGUAGCGCCUCGUGAACUCAUCUCCGGGGGUAGAGCACUGUUUCGGCUAGGGGGCCAUCCCGGCUUACCAACCCGAUGCAAACUGCGAAUACCGGAGAAUGUUAUCACGGGAGACACACGGCGGGUGCUAACGUCCGUCGUGAAGAGGGAAACAACCCAGACCGCCAGCUAAGGUCCCAAAGUCAUGGUUAAGUGGGAAACGAUGUGGGAAGGCCCAGACAGCCAGGAUGUUGGCUUAGAAGCAGCCAUCAUUUAAAGAAAGCGUAAUAGCUCACUGGUCGAGUCGGCCUGCGCGGAAGAUGUAACGGGGCUAAACCAUGCACCGAAGCUGCGGCAGCGACACUGUGUGUUGUUGGGUAGGGGAGCGUUCUGUAAGCCUGUGAAGGUGGCCUGUGAGGGUUGCUGGAGGUAUCAGAAGUGCGAAUGCUGACAUAAGUAACGAUAAAGCGGGUGAAAAGCCCGCUCGCCGGAAGACCAAGGGUUCCUGUCCAACGUUAAUCGGGGCAGGGUGAGUCGACCCCUAAGGCGAGGCCGAAAGGCGUAGUCGAUGGGAAACGGGUUAAUAUUCCCGUACUUGGUGUUACUGCGAAGGGGGGACGGAGAAGGCUAUGUUGGCCGGGCGACGGUUGUCCCGGUUUAAGCGUGUAGGUGUGUGUUCCAGGUAAAUCCGGUUCACUUUAACACUGAGGCGUGACGACGAGGCACUACGGUGCUGAAGCAACAAAUGCCCUGCUUCCAGGAAAAGCCUCUAAGCAUCAGGUAACAUCAAAUCGUACCCCAAACCGACACAGGUGGUCAGGUAGAGAAUACCAAGGCGCUUGAGAGAACUCGGGUGAAGGAACUAGGCAAAAUGGUGCCGUAACUUCGGGAGAAGGCACGCUGACACGUAGGUGAAGUGAUUUACUCACGGAGCUGAAGUCAGUCGAAGAUACCAGCUGGCUGCAACUGUUUAUUAAAAACACAGCACUGUGCAAACACGAAAGUGGACGUAUACGGUGUGACGCCUGCCCGGUGCCGGAAGGUUAAUUGAUGGGGUCAGCGCAAGCGAAGCUCCUGAUCGAAGCCCCGGUAAACGGCGGCCGUAACUAUAACGGUCCUAAGGUAGCGAAAUUCCUUGUCGGGUAAGUUCCGACCUGCACGAAUGGCGUAAUGAUGGCCAGGCUGUCUCCACCCGAGACUCAGUGAAAUUGAACUCGCUGUGAAGAUGCAGUGUACCCGCGGCAAGACGGAAAGACCCCGUGAACCUUUACUAUAGCUUGACACUGAACAUUGAGCCUUGAUGUGUAGGAUAGGUGGGAGGCUUUGAAGCGUGGACGCCAGUCUGCGUGGAGCCGACCUUGAAAUACCACCCUUUAAUGUUUGAUGUUCUAACGUGGACCCGUAAUCCGGGUUGCGGACAGUGUCUGGUGGGUAGUUUGACUGGGGCGGUCUCCUCCUAAAGAGUAACGGAGGAGCACGAAGGUUGGCUAAUCCUGGUCGGACAUCAGGAGGUUAGUGCAAUGGCAUAAGCCAGCUUGACUGCGAGCGUGACGGCGCGAGCAGGUGCGAAAGCAGGUCAUAGUGAUCCGGUGGUUCUGAAUGGAAGGGCCAUCGCUCAACGGAUAAAAGGUACUCCGGGGAUAACAGGCUGAUACCGCCCAAGAGUUCAUAUCGACGGCGGUGUUUGGCACCUCGAUGUCGGCUCAUCACAUCCUGGGGCUGAAGUAGGUCCCAAGGGUAUGGCUGUUCGCCAUUUAAAGUGGUACGCGAGCUGGGUUUAGAACGUCGUGAGACAGUUCGGUCCCUAUCUGCCGUGGGCGCUGGAGAACUGAGGGGGGCUGCUCCUAGUACGAGAGGACCGGAGUGGACGCAUCACUGGUGUUCGGGUUGUCAUGCCAAUGGCACUGCCCGGUAGCUAAAUGCGGAAGAGAUAAGUGCUGAAAGCAUCUAAGCACGAAACUUGCCCCGAGAUGAGUUCUCCCUGAGACUUAGAGUCUCCUGAAGGAACGUUGAAGACGACGACGUUGAUAGGCCGGGUGUGUAAGCGCAGCGAUGCGUUGAGCUAACCGGUACUAAUGAACCGUGAGGCUUAACCUUACAACGCCGAAG
rnacentral:rRNA from 1 species